AUAUGUUCUGUUCUUUGCUCAAGAGUCUUAUGUGGUCAGUAAGCCAGUCAAAUUAAAUGGAUCUCUCGAUGGUUUGGUACUCGGGGAAGUACGUGUUUUUGGGGUUCAGGCUUCACCUACAGCCGUGUGGGCCAAUGGCCAAAAGGUUCAUGACUUCUCUUACAGCCCAGACACCAAGGUUCUGACAGUGCCAGGUCUGGAC